CAGUUAGCUCAGUUGGUCAGAGCAUGGCGCUGAUAACGCCAAGGUCGCGGGUUUGAUUCCCAUAUGAGUGU